rnacentral:lncRNA from 1 species
AAUUUAAAUAACAAAAAGUCCAACAAACAAGCUAAAAGUGCUUGUUUGUUGGACAUCUUGUUGUUGUUAUUAUAAAAAAAAUAUAUAUAUACAUGAUUAAUAACCACACUGGGAUUUGAGAUGAACAGAAUAAAUUUUUAAUAUUUUCAUUCAAAUUUAUAUAAAUGUAAAGAAACAAAUUCAUGAUUGCAAUAAAAAGAAUUGGUGCUAGUUUCGAAACUGAAAUUUUGAGUCAAUUUCUAACAAAAUUUCUUCUCCAUCUGGCAACACUGUGGGUGACAGUUAUUGUCUGGCAUAAAAAGUGCAUGUAUUUGUGGUUCCUUCCUUCAGAGAGUGUUUGUCACUUGAUUACAUUUUUUUUGUUUCUCAUCAUGUUGAAAAAAAAUGAAAGUUGCUGAAAGAAGAACAUAGUGUUUAACAAUGAGUGGGAAUUGCAAUACUAUGUUGUUUCUGAGAAAAAUAAAAUGAAUUGUUUGCUCUGUGACUGUGAUUUUAACAGUAAAAAAAAAAUACAAUGUGCAUCAAUACUACUCAUAAGGACAAUAAAUAUGUUGCUAGAAGGUGAAUCCCAAAAGAUUACUUUAUUAAAAAUUGAAAGAAGGAAUGUAAAAGCAGAAGCAGUUAUUCCAAUCAGUGCAGAGUACCAGAAACGCAACUACAGAAGAUAUUUAUAAAGUGGC